ACCCGCGUACAUGCCACCGGGGCAUCCCGGAGGCAGGAAAGGCUUCGGCCGGACAGGGAUGGGCAUGCGGCGCAUUAGGCAGUAGGCGGGGUAACGGCCCACCUAACCGACGAUGCGUAGGGGUUCUGAGAGGAAGGUCCCCCACACUGGUACUGAGACACGGACCAGACUCCUACGGGAGGCAGCAGUGAGGAAUAUUGGUCAAUGGUCGGGAGACUGAACCAGCCAAGCCGCGUGAGGGAUGAAGGUACAGAGUAUCGUAAACCUCUUUUGUCAGGGAACAAAGGCGGGGACGUGUCCCCGGAUGAGUGUACCUGAAGAAAAAGCAUCGGCUAACUCCGUGCCAGCAGCCGCGGUAAUACGGAGGAUGCGAGCGUUAUCCGGAUUUAUUGGGUUUAAAGGGUGCGCAGGCGGUCUGUUAAGUCAGCGGUCAAAGCCCGGGGCUCAACCCCGGCCCGCCGUUGAAACUGGCAGUCUCGAGUUGGAGAGAAGUAUGCGGAAUGCGCGGUGUAGCGGUGAAAUGCAUAGAUAUCGCGCAGAACUCCGAUUGCGAAGGCAGCAUGCCGGCUCCACACUGACGCUGAGGCACGAAAGCGUGGGUAUCGAACAAGAUUAGAUACCCUGGUAGUCCACGCAGUAAACGAU
rnacentral:rRNA from 1 species